CAUGCCCCUAAAGGCAUUGCAGGUGUGACUGCUGUGUCACAUGCACUUCAGUAGGUGACAGAGAGGAGAGAGGUUGUGUCUACACUCAGUGUUCUAACCUGUGAGCCUCUGAAUGAUUAGUAGCCUCACACU